GAACCUGUCUCAACAUCUGUCUAUAAGGAACAGAAUUAUGGGCUCUCACACCUAUCUUCUCAAGAAGAAAUGUCAGGCCUGUCAUUCCAGAUUGCUUCAAUGGAUGAAAACGGGACUCUCAAUCUGUGGAAAUGCUAUGACUUGACUCCCUAAACACAACGUUCCAGUAAGGCAGAACU
rnacentral:lncRNA from 1 species